GGAUCAUUACUGAGUUUACGCUCUACAACCCUUUGUGAACAUACCUAUAACUGUUGCUUCGGCGGGUAGGGUCCCCGUGACCCUCCCGGCCUCCCGCCCCCGGGCGGGUCGGCGCCCGCCGGAGGAUAACCAAACUCUGAUUUAACGACGUUUCUUCUGAGUGGUACAAGCAAAUAAUCAAAACUUUUAACAACGGAUCUCUUGGUUCUGGCAUCGAUGAAGAACGCAGCGAAAUGCGAUAAGUAAUGUGAAUUGCAGAAUUCAGUGAAUCAUCGAAUCUUUGAACGCACAUUGCGCCCGCCAGCAUUCUGGCGGGCAUGCCUGUUCGAGCGUCAUUUCAACCCUCAAGCUCUGCUUGGUGUUGGGGCCCUACAGCUGAUGUAGGCCCUCAAAGGUAGUGGCGGACCCUCCCGGAGCCUCCUUUGCGUAGUAACUUUACGUCUCGCACUGGGAUCCGGAGGGACUCUUGCCGUAAAACCCCCCAAUUUUCCAAAGGUUGACCUCGGAUCAGGUAGGAAUACCCGCUGAACUUAAGCAUAUCAAUAA
rnacentral:rRNA from 1 species